UACAGAGGUGGCAAGCGUUGUUCGGAAUUACUGGGCGUAAAGGGCGCGUAGGCGGCCGUCUAAGUCAGACGUGAAAUCCCCCGGCUUAACCUGGGAACUGCGUCUGAUACUGGAGGGCUUGAGUGCGGGAGAGGGAUGUGGAAUUCCAGGUGUAGCGGUGAAAUGCGUAGAUAUCUGGAGGAACACCGGUGGCGAAGGCGGCAUCCUGGACCGGCAUUGACGCUGAGGAGCGAAAGCCAGGGGAGCAAACGGG
rnacentral:rRNA from 1 species